GUGGGGAAUAUUCCGCAAUGGACGAAAGUCUGACGGAGCAACGCCGCGUGUGUGAUGAAGGUUUUCGGACUGUAAAGCUCUGUUGUUUGGGACGAAAGUGCCUGUUGCGAACAGUUACGGGUAUUGACGGUACUAAACGAGGAAGCCACGGCUAACUACGUGCCAGCAGCCGCGGUAAUACGUAGGUGGCAAGCGUUGUCCGGAAUUAUUGGGCGUAAAGAGCAUGUAGGCGGGAAUCUAAGUCUGUUGUUAAAAUGCGGGGCUCAACCCCGUAUUGCGAUGGAAACUGGGUUUCUUGAGUGCAGGAGAGGAAAGCGGAAUUCCCCGUGUAGCGGUGAAAUGCGUAGAUAUGGGGAGGAACACCAGUGGCGAAGGCGGCUUUCUGGACGGUGUCUGACACUGAGGCGCGAAAGCUAGGGGAGCGAACGGGAUUAGAAACCCGGGUAGUCC
rnacentral:rRNA from 1 species